UUAUGCUUGGCCUGCAGGGGUUUUGUGACAUCUACCAAAAAAUAUCCCACCGCUUGAGGUUGUGCUUUGGAAGCCUAGAGACUAAAAUGUCAUCAUGCAUACUCUACUACAAAAUGCGUGGAAUGAUGCAUGCCCUCUGAUCUCCACAUCCCUAUUCAAAUAGACUUUGUCACCAGCUCUGGGAUAAGCAGGACCGAGACAUAACGGAAAGAAACGGAAUAUAAUUAGUAUGAGUUGGCCAUUGUCCACUCUGGUUGAGUCUCUAAACAGAUAGGCAAUACCAUAUUUUUGAGGAACACCAUUUUGUCAGUGGAACAGAGUUCUGCUAUUCCUGGUGGUUGUUAAAGAUCCUAAGACACUGUUCAGAAAACAGGAAGGAAUUUCUCUUGGGUGUCCUAUCCAGCAAACUUCCAGAUUAAUUGGAAAUGAACAAUUCAUCAUAUUAUUCCAAUCGGGUGAAGGUAUCUGGCAAUGACUAUGAUCUGAGAGGAAUAUGGGAGAAGAGGAUUCAAAAGCAGGAAGAGUGGCUACAGCAGGAACAAAUGCGGGUGGAUAAGAGUGCCCUGAACAAGCUCAUCAAAGAGUGGAACCAGAGACUUGAAAGCAAAAGAAAACUGAUGCAAAACAUCCACGACGAUGAUAAGAAGAAAAAUAAACCUGUGGUAUCAAUUGAAGCUCCUGUUCAGCAAGUGCCUUCGAGUGCUUGAGAUUAUUUAAGAUGCUUUUGGGUCGUUUAAUUAAGGCUUGCAUGCAACCAUGUUGUUAAGAGACAAAUGUUUGCCGAUGUCUAGCUAGUCAACUCACUGUGUAAAUGUAUCGAUUUAGAAUAGUGCAGGAUCCUAGAUUCCCUGUUACAUGAGGUCUCAUGUAUUGCAGCAUAUUAAGGAUGAAAACGUGUAAUUCACAAACCAAAGUCUCAGUGCUAACAAUGACAUAUGGUUUGAGUUCUGCUUUUGGGCCAUUUCGAGUGAAGGCCCCAAAUAACUGACAAAAGAUUGGAAAACAAAAUUCCGGAGCAAAAUGACCUUCGUCAGCCUUUCGGAUUGUGAUUUUUUUCUAAAUAAGUUUGGGAGCAAAUCCUCCAAUUUCGGUCGCAACCUGGCGUCGUUGUCAGUGACUUCCUGUUUACAAACACCACCUUUACCUUCUGAAAGCACACAACUAUUUAAGCUAUUCACCAAAACUCCAUCAUGUCUGCUGACAUCUCCAAUAUUUCAAUUCCCCAGCAAUGGAGGCAACAUUUCCACCAAUUUAAAAUAACCAUUUCUCUCUGGGACACUUUUCCACUGGUUGAGAUUAAACUGUAAACCUGAAGAGUGACUAAAAAGAUUCGCAAAUUAUCACUCAAAUCAAUUAAUUUUCUGCCCUCGUUCCAAUAUGUCACUGACAUAUACCACAGGAUGCUUCAAAGGCAGAACUCUACAUGUAACCCCAUGGCCAUUCUUCACAUGUAAAGGCAUGUAAUGAAUGUUGGCAGGCCAUUUGACCGUGGGGGAAGGGAGAGAGAUCACUUUUGAGUCCAAUCUUGUCCUCAUAUAAUGUUCAAUGCUCAGGCUCCCAAGUUGAUAUAUUUUAAAGUGAAAUACGCUGUGUUGUUAUUUGUUCACAUGUGAGCAUUUUCCAUCAGAGAUCACUGAAUAGCGAUCAGAUACAGGCGCCCUGGCUUAUUUAUCUCCCCCAAGUCAAGAGAAUCAAUUGUAGCACCUUACCACUAUCGUAACUAAGAUCAGUUCACCCAGCACAGAACAGGGAUUAAAUCUUCCUGAUCUGCAUGGCUCGUAUUAUACACACUGAACCAUUGUGUCCUGGGUACGAAGCACUUUUUUAGAAAAUUACACAGACAGCUAAGAAUGUCAAUGUGGCCCAAUUACUAAUUACUGUUGGCUUUGUCCUUUGUCUGGUCAAAUUUUUAGUUUUAAUACCUAAACUAUGGCCUAAGGGCAAAGCUACUGCCCUUCACAAAGAGAACAACAUCAACUAAACAUGAAUUUGUAGAGUACUCUUCAUGUGAAGGAACAUCUCAAAGUCAUCGUAAUAAUGUAAUGUUGGUCAUUGAGAAGGAAAUGAGAGAUUUAAAGAUGUACCCACAUACACACAUACCUACUAAUUAAAGUUGCUAGAAGAGAUAUUUUUAAGCGUAAUUUGAAGCCAGGAAGUAAGGUAUUAAGGGAAGGUGAUUUUGGAGUUCCAGAGGACAGUGCAGAAUAGCUGAAGGUAAGUUCAACAGUGGUGGAGCAAAGGGUGUGGGGAAUGAGCAAGAGAUCAGAGUCAGUAAAGUGCUGGUCGUGGCCUAGAAUGAGGGCUGGAGAAGAUUGAAUAGGUAGUUUCAGUGAGAUCAGGUGUUGGGUGCCAAUAAAGUUUGGCCAAAUGGGGGUAAUGAGUGUGGAGAGCUUUGUACAGGAGAAAACUCAGGCUGCAGAGUUCUAGAUCUGUUGCAUUUGAAAUUGGUCAUUCACUUCCUGACUGUUUGUAAAACGUUGCUGUGUACACAGUGACUGCCACCUUCACCUGCAAGUACAGACACUAGACAUUACAGUAAUUCCUGUGAGGUAUGUUGAGACACUUUGAUGAUAUCAUGAGGCCCUAUAUCAA